UCUGUUUCUCUGCCUGUCUGUUUUUUCUUUCUUUAUCUGUUUGUCUGUCUGUUUUUUCUUUCUUUAUCUGUUUGUCUCUCUGUUUUUUCUUCCUUUAUCUGUUUCUCUGUCUGUUUUUUCUUUCUUUAUCUGUUUGUCUGUCUGUUUUUUCUUUCUUUAUCUGUUUGUUUGUCUGUCUGUUCUUUCUUUCUUUAUCUGUUUGUCUGUCUGUUUUUUCUUUCUUUAUCUAUUUGUCUCUAUGUUUUUUCUUUCUUUAUCUGUUUCUCUGUCUGUUUUUUCUUUUUUUAUCUGUUUCUCUGUGUGUUUUUUCUUUCUUUAUCUGUUUGUCUGUCUGGCUUUUUUUUCUCUUUAUCUGCUUGUCUGUCUGUUUUUUCUUUCUUUAUCUGUUUGUCUGUCUGUUUUUUCUUUCUUUAUCUGUUUGUCUGUCUGUUUUUUCUCUCUUUAUCUGUUUGUCUGUCUGUUUUUUCUCUCUUUAUUUGUUUGUCUGUCUGUAUAGCCUUAACUUGUCUUUGUCUCUCCCUAUAGCCUUUAGUUUUCGUCCAUUUUUAGCCACUUAUCUCAUUUUUCAUAAGUGGGCCAAAAACAGCAAAAAAGUAAGGCUAUAGCCUUAACUUUUCGUCCAUUUUAAGCCAC